rnacentral:rRNA from 1 species
AUGCCGCCGCCGACCACCGCAGGCACACUCCCGAACAGGGCUCUCCACGCGCGCCUCCUCCGCUCCGGCGCCCUCGACGCCGACCCCUCAGCCGCCGCCCCGCUUGCCGCGUCGGCCGCCAACACCUCCCUCCCCUACGCGCUCUCCCUCCUUCAAGCCCACCCCUCCACCUUCUCCUACAACACCACCAUCCGCUCCCUCGGGCACGGUCCCCGCCCCCACCUCGCUGUCGCUCUCUACCGCUCCAUGCUCCUCGGCCCCCUCUCCAACCCCAACAACUACACCUACCCGCCACUCCUCGCCGCCUGCGCCCGCCUUCUCCCCGCCGGUUCACCCACCGCAGCGGGCACUGCUGUCCACGCCUCCCUCUUCCGCCGCGGUCUCGACUCCCGCUACCGCUUCAUCGGCGCGUCACUCCUCUCCUUCUACGCUGCCGCCGGGGACCUGCCCGCCGCACGCCAGGUGUUCGGCGCAAGUCCCCCCAGUCUAAGGGACCUGCCCCUCUGGAACUCGCUCCUCCACGCCCACCUCUCCCAGGGCUUCUACGCCCACGUGCUACGCCUCUCCCGCCAGAUGCCCGCCGCUGAUGAGGUCACGCUGAUCGCCCUCGUCUCCACCUGCGCACAUCUCGGCGCGCUCGACACUGGCCGCUGGGCGCAUGCUUGCUAUGCAAGGACCCAUCGGAGCACCACGCGGAAUCUCGGCACCGCUCUGCUCAACAUGUACAUGAGGUGCGGAGAUGUCGAGAGCGCAUGGUCUGUGUUCCGUGAGACGCUUGACAAGGAUGUCCGGACGUGGAGUGUCAUGAUCGCCGGACUGGCCAUCAAUGGGCUCCCCGGGGAUGCGCUGGCCUUGUUUGCUGAGAUGAAGAACACAGGGGUGGACCUAGAUUCCAUCACCAUGACCGCGGUGCUGAGCGCGUGCGCCCAUGCUGGCAUGGUGGAUGAGGGCAAGAGGUUCCUGGACUGUAUGCCUGUUGAAUAUCGUGUACAGCCCACCAUAUAG